UUAACCCAGUCACAUUCUGUAUGUAUGUGCCUAUCCCAUGUCAAGAGCCUGUAAUUCAGUAGUUGUCAUGUUACAUUUUUCUUGUUUCAUCAUUUUUUGUGUACAUUUAUAAGGCCGUUAGUUUGUUUUACAUUUGAUUUCUGGGCCUUUUAAAGCUGACUAUGCAGUAUGGAUUUUUUUUUAUUGUUGAAGGCUUAACAGUGACCUAUUGCUGUUAAUUUCUGCCAGUUGGUCUCUUGUGGAGUGUUGUCUUAUUGGCAAUC
rnacentral:lncRNA from 1 species